AUUGAACGCUGGCGGCAGGCCUAACACAUGCAAGUCGAACGGUAACAGGAAGCAGCUUGCUGCUUUGCUGACGAGUGGCGGACGGGUGAGUAAUGUCUGGGAAACUGCCCGAUGGAGGGGGAUAACUACUGGAAACGGUAGCUAAUACCGCAUAACGUCGCAAGACCAAAGAGGGGGACCUUAGGGCCUCUUGCCAUCUGAUGUGCCCAGAUGGGAUUAGCUAGUAGGUGGGGUAACGGCUCACCUAGGCGACGAUCCCUAGCUGGUCUGAGAGGAUGACCGGCCACACUGGAACUGAGACACGGUCCAGACUCCUACGGGAGGCAGCAGUGGGGAAUAUUGCACAAGGGGCGCAAGCCUGAUGCAGCCAUGCCGCGUGUAUGAAGAAGGCCUUCGGGUUGUAAAGUACUUUCAGCGGGGAGGAAGGGAGUAAAGUUAAUACCUUUGCUCAUUGACGUUACCCGCAGAAGAAGCACCGGCUAACUCCGU
rnacentral:rRNA from 1 species